UAGGUAUGGAACCAUCCACGAUCUCAAA
rnacentral:sRNA from 1 species